rnacentral:tRNA from 1 species
GGACAGAUGGCCGAGCUGGUUAUGGCGCCAGGUUAAGGUGGUUUCCUUAGCAACAAUCUCCUGGUCACGAAAGUGGCGUGGGUUCGAGUCCCACUCUGUUCA